GACGAGGGAUCCUAGCGUUGUUCGGAAUCAUUGGGCGUAAAGCGGGUGCAGGUGGCUAUGUAAGUCAGGUGUGAAAGCCUGGGGCUCAACCCCAGAAGUGCAUUUGAUACUGCGUAGCUUGAGUGGUAGAGAGGAUAGUAGAAUUCUUGGCGUAGUGGUGAAAUUCGUAGAUAUCGGGAGGAACACCGGUGGCGAAGGCGGCGACCUGGUUCGAUACUGACACUGAGGUGCGAAAGCGUGGGGAGCAAACAGG
rnacentral:rRNA from 1 species